rnacentral:sRNA from 1 species
UUUUUUAGAAGAUACAAAGCCAAACAUUCAUACGGACUUUGGUUACACCAUUAAAGCUUUGAGAAGCAAGAAAAAGCUUGGUUAUUGUUUUGGAGUCAAAUAUGCCUAGAUGUCAUGUGUAUGAUUGAGUACAAGAACUCGAACCGCAACUGGAUCUUGAAAGCCCAAGUAGUGUUUCCUUGUUAGAAGAUACAACGCCAAUGACUCAUACGGAUUUCGGCUACACCAUCAAAUCUUUGAGAAGGAACAAGAAUCUUGGUUUGUGUUUUGGAGUUAGAUAUAAAUUGAUGUCAUGUCUAUGGUUGAGUAUUAGAACUUGAACCGCAAACGGAUCCGAAAAGGAAA